UACGUAGGGUGCAAGCGUUAUCCGGAAUUAUUGGGCGUAAAGAGCUCGUAGGCGGUUUGUCGCGUCUGCUGUGAAAACCCGAGGCUCAACCUCGGGCCUGCAGUGGGUACGGGCAGACUAGAGUGCGGUAGGGGAGAUUGGAAUUCCUGGUGUAGCGGUGAAAUGCGCAGAUAUCGGGAGGAACACCAAUGGCGAAGGCAGCUCGCUGGGACGGUACUGACGCUGAGGCGCGAAAGCGUGGGGAGCAAACAGG
rnacentral:rRNA from 1 species